rnacentral:misc_RNA from 1 species
GAUGAAGAACGUAGCGAAAUGCGAUAAGUAAUGCGAAUUGCAGAAUUCCAGUGAGUCAUCGAAUCUUUGAACGCACAUUGCGCCCUUUGGUAUUCCGAAGGGCAUGCCUGUUCGAGCGUCAUUAUCACCCCUCAAGCCCUCGGCUUGGUGUUGGACGGUUUGGUGGAGGCCCCCUCGGGGGCUCCUGCCCCUCCCAAAGACAAUGACGGCGGCCUCGUUGGACCCCCGGUACACUGAGUUCUUCACGGGACACGUAUCGGACACAUGGGUUUACGGGACACGGUCUGCCUCCCCUUAGGGAGAAUCUUUCUAAGGUUGACCUCGGAUCAGGUAGGGAUACCCGCUGAACUUAAGCAUAUCAAUAAGCGGAGGA